GGUCAGCUCUCCAGUCUCAGCAGCACCGUUCGUUCCUCGGAGCACCGUCCAGGCUGCCUUUGUGAUCAUGGAGCCUGGGGAUUCUGAUGUGCCUGAGUCUGACCACCAGAGGGAAAGUGGACAUUCAUGGUAUGUCUUGGAGUCAGAGGCAACUCCUGUGUCUCUGGACACUGAGUAAGGUCUGUUGGAGGUGAAGGAGUGCCAGCAGGCACUGGACACGUACUUUAGACACCUGAUCUCACAGAGGAGGGAAUGGGGCCUGGAAAGCACUGUUGAGCUCCACUUGUGGCAAUGACACCAUUGAGGGAAAGUCACCCAAGAACUGCUCCUGAGGUCCCUGCAGCAGCUUGUGGCUUGCUUUGGUGGCCUCACCUCAGGCCGGUUGGUGAGCCUGGUGUUUUCUUCAGGGUUGAACUACAGCUGCUGGUUCAUGUGUGGUGUCUGCCUGCCCAGAGGACUGGACUGAAACUGCUGAUUUGUAUUUGAUAUUUGCUAUGGGACUGAACUGCUGACAAAGACUGAGCUCACCCCCAAAGAGCUAUUGCUGAACAGGUCCACUUCCCCCAUAUCCUAAUAACUUCUCUUCCACUGUCUCUGCUGGGUGCUGGGCUAGAGGAGAGGUCAAACGUUUAUUAAAAUAGGCUGCAAAAAAUGUAUGCCUACAUAUAUAUGCUGUGCUCUGGGUUACUCAGAAUGAUUGAUCCAUGAGAGACACUGCAGGAUGAAUUUAGGCUUCUUGGGCAGCGGGAAGAUCAGCCUCUCAAGAACUGAACCUCUGUUGGGGGUGCUUUUGUGCACUGGGUAUUUGAAUGCUGAUUUCUGUACCUGGAAAUCUGGGUAGAGUCUGGGUUUUGUCGUGGUCAUUAUUACGAAGCAUUUUCUGAC
ensembl:processed_transcript